AUGAGCCAAGGUUCUCCCGCCGCGAUGGGGUCCGGUUCAGGGACAGCAGAACCGGCCCAUGGGCAGCGCGGGGACUCCUCCAACGCCGCCGCCUCCGCCACCUCCGCCUCCGCCUCCUCGCCGCCACCUCUCCCCCCUGCAGCGCCCCUCCAGCGGCCCCAAGAAGAGCGGGACCGCGAGCAGGCCGGAGGCUCGAGCUCCGCUGCGGCGGGGCUCGACCGGAAGGGCAAGAAUCUCCCAUCCGCACCCGCAGUUCCUUCUUCGGAGUCUUCAUCUUCGAGCUCCGGUGGCAGCAGCCCCGAGGACGCCGACGCCGCGGCCUCCGGAGCCCGGCCGUUCGACAGCACGGCGGUGUUCCAGCAGCUGCUACGGGAGCAGACGGCCAUCAAGGAGGCGGGUGGGUCGUUGGCCGAGGGGACGAGCAAGAAGAAGAAGCCGGAGGCGCAGGUGACAUCGUCGCACGCCAUAGCGGAGCUCUGGCACAAUCUUAUAAAGGCCCAGGCAGAGGCACCCACUGAAGGUUCUGCCCAUCAGGAGCAGAGGGAGAAGAAUACUCAGCAGCAGGCUUCACCUCAACUUCCAGAGGAGCACGCAGGGUGCAAGAAGAGGGAUGAUUGUGACAAGAUCGAAGCAGACCGCAGUGUACCUACAGACCUCAGUGCUGAUUCGAGUAGGUUUUGGCAAUCCGAGUCCGAAAACGCCACUGGUAUCGCCCGGAUUCCUUCUUCAUUGGAUCCUUGUCGGUUCAGACUCUGA
rnacentral:rRNA from 1 species